rnacentral:rRNA from 1 species
CCUACGGGUGGCAGCAGUGAGGAAUAUUGGUCAAUGGACGCGAGCCUGAACCAGCCAAGUAGCGUGAAGGAUGACGGCCCUACGGGUUGUAAACUUCUUUUAUAAAGGAAUAAAGUGAGGCACGUGUGGCUUUUUGUAUGUACUUUAUGAAUAAGGCUCGGCUAACUCCGUUACAGCAGCCGCGGUAAUACGGCGGAUCCGCGCGUUAUCCGGAUUUAUUGGGUUUAAAGGGAGCGUAGAUGGCUUGUUAAGUCAGUUGUGAAAGUGUGCGGCUCAACCGUAAAAUUGCAGUGGAAACUGGCAGGCUUGAGUGCAGGAGAGGUAGGCGGAAUUCGUGGGGUAGCGGUGAAAUGCUUAGAUAUCACGAAGAACUCCGAUUGCGAAGGCAGCCUACUAAACUGCCACUGACAUUGAUGCUCGAAAGUGUGGGUAUCAAACAGGAUUAGAUACCCGUGUAGUC